rnacentral:lncRNA from 10 species
AUUUCCAGACUGUAUUACCAUCAUUUGAGCUCUUCUCAAAGUAUGGAAAAUUAUAUUCAAAAGCUGGACAGAUUGUAUAAAGAGAGACAGGGUCUCACUCUGUUGCCCAGGGUGGAAUGCAGUGGCGUGAUCAUAGCUCACUGCAACCUCGAACUCCUGGGUUCAAGUGAUCCUCCUGCCUCAGCCUCUUGAGUAGCUGGGAUUACAGGCGUCAGAAGAAGAAACUGAAGCCAUCUGCAUUUUAAAACUUAACAGUUCUGAAAGGAAAACACAGAUGAAGAUCCUGUAGGAAAUAUACUUGCUAUGAUUCAAUAAACUAU